UACGUAGGGACCAAGCGUUGUUCGGAUUUACUGGGCGUAAAGGGCGCGUAGGCGGCAUGACAAGUCACUCGUGAAAUCUCCGGGCUUAACUCGGAACGGCCAAGUGAAACUGUCAAGCUAGAGUGCAGAAGGGGCAAUCGGAAUUCUUGGUGUAGCGGUGAAAUGCGUAGAUAUCGAGAGGAACACCUGCGGCGAAGGCGGGUUGCUGGGCUGAUACUGACGCUGAGGCGCGAAAGCCAGGGGAGCGAACGGG
rnacentral:rRNA from 1 species